UUGGUUUUCAAGACUCUGAUACCCAUCUGUGACAGACGGGCAACUUCUGUGCUGGCAGUAUCAAAGCAACCCCACCAAGAGACACGCUGGCCUCUCUGUGGCUGGAUGGUUUCCAUGGUGUGGGGGAGUUUUGUUAUUGUUGCUUUUGUGAAGUUUAAGUUCUUGUGGCUUUUUCCCUUUGCCAGCCUUGCUUAAGACCAAAGGAGAGCUGGAUGGUAAAGACUCCCCUGAGAAUGGGCAAACGAGUUGCAGAUCAAGUAUCCUGGCCACAAAGACAAGGAGAGGAUCAGGCCCGAAGCUCCAGGCCUGGACACGCCCCGGAGGAGAAAUGAGCCUCGUGAGCUCAUGCUUCUAACCUGUACAUCUUACUGCCUCAAACAUGACAAAGUG
rnacentral:lncRNA from 1 species